rnacentral:rRNA from 1 species
GACGAACGCUGGCGGCGUGCUUAACACAUGCAAGUCGAACGGUGAAGCGCCUUCCUUUUUGGUGGGUGUGGAUGAGUGGCGAACGGGUGAGUAACACGUGAGUAACCUGCCCCCUUCUUCUGGAUAACCGCAUGAAAGUGUGGCUAAUACGGGAUAUUCUGGGUCUGUCGCAUGAUGGGUCUGGGAAAGAUAUUGUUUCGGUGGGGGAUGGGCUCGCGGCCUAUCAGCUUGUUGGUGGGGUGAUGGCCUACCAAGGCGGUGACGGGUAGCCGGCCUGAGAGGGUGGACGGUCACACUGGGACUGAGACACGGCCCAGACUCCUACGGGAGGCAGCAGUGGGGAAUAGUGCACAAUGGGCGCAAGCCUGAUGCAGCGACGCCGCGUGAGGGAUGGAGGCCUGCGGGUUGUGAACAUCUUUCGCCAGUGAAGCAGGCCUGCCUCGUUUGUGGGUGGGUUGACGGUAGCUGGAUAAGAAGCGCCGGCUAACUACGUG